rnacentral:rRNA from 1 species
GACGAACGCUGGCGGCGUGCUUAACACAUGCAAGUCGAACGGUAAGGCCCUUCGGGGUACACGAGUGGCGAACGGGUGAGUAACACGUGGGUGAUCUGCCCUGCACUUCGGGAUAAGCCUGGGAAACUGGGUCUAAUACCGGAUAGGACCACUGCCUGCAUGGGUGGUGGUGGGAAGCUUUUGCGGUGUGGGAUGGGCCCGCGGGCUAUCAGCUUGUUGGUGGGGUGAUGGCCUACCAAGGCGACGACGGGUAGCCGGCCGGAGAGGGUGACCGGCCACACUAGGACUGAGAUACGGCCCAGACGCCUACGGGAGGCAGCAGUGGGGAAUAGUGCACAAUGGGCGCAAGCCUGACGCAGCGACAUCGCGUGAAGGAUGACGGUCCUCGGAUUGUAAACUUCAAUAGUCUAUUAAAAAAUCUUGAUUGAUAGAUGAAAGCCCUGGCUAACCACGUGCCAGCCGCCGCGGUAA